rnacentral:rRNA from 1 species
UACGUAGGUGGCAAGCGUUGUCCGGAUUUACUGGGCGUAAAGAGCGCGCAGGCGGUCGUUCAAGUCGCGUGUGAAAGCCCCCCGGCUCAACUGGGGAGGGUCACGCGAUACUGAUCGACUCGAAGGCAGGAGAGGGUAGUGGAAUUCCCGGUGUAGUGGUGAAAUGCGUAGAUAUCGGGAGGAACACCAGUGGCGAAGGCGACUACCUGGCCUGUUCUUGACGCUGAGGCGCGAAAGCUAGGGGAGCAACGGGAUUAAGAAACCCG